CUCAAAGCACACAAUAGAUGCGUUCUACAGUCUCCUGUCCUUCCGAGUUCAUUCUUCCAUAGCAGCUUGGCUAGAGAUGGUGCUUGUCAGAAACUCAGCAGAAUGGCAUCAAUGUCAAGAAUGGACUGGUAGAUGUCAGACUUGAGAAACCUGGGGUAGCAGUCUCUCGCCAUUAGACUGAAGAUCAUCUUCUGUGCAGUAUCAAAUGAGUUCAGGAUAGAAGAUUCUCGAUGGACUCGCCCCAGGAGUCCACAUCUUCAACAUGUUCCUGAGAAAAGCAACAAAAUCUACCCUUGAAAAUUACAUGAAGAUCCCUCACUGGAGAAGC